rnacentral:rRNA from 4 species
UGAAGAUUAAUUUACUAAAAAAGUAACAAGAUCUUUUUAGAGAAUUUUCUUUGUCUUUAGUAUUUUAUUGAAAUAGCCAUUUUUGUAAUAGUUUACUAGUACUGUAGAGUAAUGUUGAAAUAUAUUGAAAUAUUUAUUUAUUAAAAAGCAUACUGUUUGUAGUACCUUUUGUAUCAGGGAUGAUUAAUUUUGUUUAAUUUAU